AUUGAACGCUGGCGGCAGGCUUAACACAUGCAAGUCGAGCGGUAACAGAGAGAAGCUUGCUUCUCUGCUGACGAGCGGCGGACGGGUGAGUAAUGCCUAGGAAUCUGCCUAGUAGUGGGGGAUAACUUGCCGAAAGGUAAGCUAAUACCGCAUACGUCCUACGGGAGAAAGGAGGGGACCUUCGGGCCUUUCGCUAUUAGAUGAGCCUAGGUCGGAUUAGUUAGUUGGUGAGGUAAUGGCUCACCAAGACCGCGAUCCGUAACUGGCCUGAGAGGAUGAUCAGUCACACUGGAACUGAGACACGGUCGAGACUCCUACGGGAGGCAGCAGGGGGGAAUAUUGGACAAUGGGGGGAACCCUGAUCCAGCCAUGCCGCGUGUGUGAAGAAGGUCUUAGGGUUGUAAAGCACUUUAAGUUGGGAGGAAGAGCAGUUAACUAAUAUUUGACUGUUUUGACGUUACCGACAGAAUAAGCACCGGCUAACUUCGUGCCAGCCGCCGCAGUAA
rnacentral:rRNA from 1 species